UCCGUAGGUGAACCUGCGGAAGGAUCAUUACUGAGUUAGGGUCUUCCAGGCCCGACCUCCAACCCUUUGCCUACCUUACCUCUUGUUGCUUCGGCCGGCCCGUCCCCCCUAGAAAUAGGGGUCGACCGCCGGAGGGCUCACACCCUCUGGCCCGCGCCCGCCGAUGGCCCUCAACCAAAACUCUUGUUCAAUCGUGAAUUGUCUGAGUAUACAAAACAAAAUAAACCAAAAACUUUCAACAACGGAUCUCUUGGUUCUGGCAUCGAUGAAGAACGCAGCGAAAUGCGAUAAGUAAUGCGAAUUGCAGAAUCCGUGAGUCAUCGAAUCUUUGAACGCACAUUGCGCCCCUUGGUUAUUCCGAAGGGCAUGCCUGUUCGAGCGUCAUUAUCACCCCUCAAGCCCUGGCUUGGUGUUGGACUUUAGUUAUAGCUUUGCCUAUCAACUGGUCUCAAAGAUAGUGACGGCGCCCCAGAGGGAACCGGGUACGAGGAGCUUUUUACUAAGCAUGUAUCUGGGACGACUCUGAUGGGCGACGGUCUUGUUAUACUUUUUACCUAAGUGUUGACCUCGGAUCAGGUAGGAAUACCCGCUGAACUUAAGCAUAUCAAUAAGCGGAGGAAAAGAAACCAACAGGGAUUGCCUCAGUAACGGCGAGUGAAGCGGCAACAGCUCAAAUUUGAAAUCUGGCUUCUCGGAGCCCGAGUUGUAAUUUGUAGAGGAUGUUUCGGGUACCGCUCCGGCUUAAUUUUCUUGGAACAGAAUGUCAGAGAGGGUGAGAAUCCCGUCUGGAGCCGCGGUAGGGCCUAUGUGAAACUCCUUCGACGAGUCGAGUUGUUUGGGAAUGCAGCUCAAAAUGGGUGGUAAAUUUCAUCUAAAGCUAAAUAUUGGCCAGAGACCGAUAGCGCACAAGUAGAGUGAUCGAAAGAUGAAAAGCACUUUGAAAAGAGAGUUAAACAGUAUGUGAAAUUGUUGAAAGGGAAGCGCUGGCAACCAGACUUGCGUGUAGGGGUUCCCCCUCGCUUCUGCGUGGGUUACUCCCCUAUAUCCAGGCCAACAUCGGUUUUGGCGGUCGGUCAAAGGCCUUGGGAAUGUACCUUCCCCCGGGAAGACUUAUAGCCCAGGGUGUCAUGCGGCCUGCCGGGACCGAGGAACGCGCUUCGGCUCGGAUGUUGGCGUAAUGGUUGUCAGCGACCCGUCUUGAAACACGGACCAAGGAGUCUAACAUCUAUGCGAGUGUUAGGGUGUCAAACCCUUGCGCGGAAUGAAAGUGAACGGAGGUAGGAAGCCCUCGGGCUGCACUAUCGACCGAUCCUGAAGUUUACGGAUGGAUUUGAGUAAGAGCAUAGCUGUUGGGACCCGAAAGAUGGUGAACUAUGCCUGAAUAGGGUGAAGCCAGAGGAAACUCUGGUGGAGGCUCGCAGCGGUUCUGACGUGCAAAUCGAUCGUCAAAUUUGGGU
rnacentral:misc_RNA from 1 species